UUAAUAUUGGGCAGAAGUAUGGAAGUAGCAUAAAGAUUUAUUGUUUAUUUAUGAAUAAAACACUAUUGGCGCCUAUAUCUAGCCUUCAAUUAUAUUUCCAAAAUGAUUAUUAAUAUAAAAUGUCUACAAAUAUAAAUAUUUCAGGCGAAGGAGUCUUUGCCACUAAGCCUUUUAAAAACGAGACUUUCUUCUCGAAUACAAAGGGGAUCGGAUAACACAAGUACAACAUGCACGGAAAUUAGAAAAGCAGUAUGAAAAGGAGGGUCAAGGCAGCUUCAAUUACUUUUUUAAAUACAGAGACAAAUCUUGCUGCAUUGACGCUACCAACGAUAUAUUUCAUGAUGGUCGAAUGAUAAAUGAUGCCGAAAAUGGAGACGCAAAACAAAAUUGUGUAAUGAAAAUAGAUGAAGUCAACCAAACUCCCCAUCUAUGCACUUUCGCCGACAGAGACAUUGCAAUUGGCGAGGAACUCCGAUAUGAUUAUGGAGUACCAACACUUCCAUGGAGAAAGGCAACACAAUGACUACUAGAUCUACGGACAGCCAGGAACCAGGACAAACAACAUCUAUACACACGGAAGAAGUCAAUGAGACGAAAUGUACGGAACAAAAAAGGGCAAAACAUUGACUACUAGAUUUACGGACAGCCAGGAACCAGGACAAACAACAUCCGUACACAUGGAAGAUUUCGAUCAGACGUAUUGUAAUAUUUCACUAUGUCGAAGCUACUAAGGCGUAUUUUCUGGUUUGGUUUAGUCUUCAGUGAAAAGGGCGUUAUUUUGCCUUAAAUUAUAUUGUGCCAAUAUUUAUUCCGGGUGAUGCUAAUUGGUAUUUGUGCUUAACAUAACACGUACGUCGAUGAUCAUUAUAUUAACAUGUUAUAGCACACGUUAUGCGAAUUUUAAAAGAAUAAAAUAUUGUUUACCAGUUGUAGUGACUAUGAACUACUUGUCUUUCAAAAUCUUCAUAUACACAAAGAAUUUAGAAUUUACACCUGUCAAUGAAACUUGUGAGAAUGUGUAUUAACCACGGUAGUCUAUAAACAUCGACUUCAUCAUAAUCACAAAAAUGUUAAUUAUCGCUUAUCCAAGAAGUGUAAUAUCAUUAAUUUAAAUUUUCAGUAUAAGACUUAUACUCUGCCAAUUACUGUGUAUGAAAC